UUUCACUCCAAAUCAACCCACCUACGCACCUAAAACCGCCACUCCCUUCAAGCGAUUGAUGGACUUUGAGUUUCAGGCGAAGAACUAGAAAGGAUUAUGUUACCGAUGUGAUGAGCAGUUCACUAUUGGGCAUCGAUGCAAAAAUAAAGAAUUACAGGUAAUGGCGAUAAGGGAAAAUGAAGAAGAAGAUACUGGAGAUGGAGGGGAACCGGGCUUUGGAGGCGGUGGGUAUAGUUAUGGUGCCGAUUGCUUCCACAUGCACCUAGAAGAUCAUGAGAUAGAAUUAGGGGCGCAGGUUGAACUCUCCAUAAAUUCGAUGGUAGGACUUACCACCAUUAAAAAGAUGAAAAUCAUAGCAGUGUGGGAAAUAAAAGUGUGGUUGACUUGGUCGAUUGUGGAGCCUCACAUAACUUCAUCUCUGCAGAAGUGGUUCGACAGCUGGGACUACCUCUUUCCAGCACCACCAGGUAUGGCGUUAUCAUGGGCAUGGGGCUAACAGUAAAAGGGCAAGGAAUCUACAAGGGAGUGAAACUAUAGCUUCAGAACGUAAUGGUAGAAGAUGACUUUCUGCCAUUAGAGUUAGGCAGUUCAGACAUCAUCUUGGGGAUGCAAUGGUUGCGCAAGCUGGGUGAAAUGAAAGUCAAUUGGCAAACUUUAACCAUGACAUUUAACAUGGUUGGUGUGACAGUGACGCUGCAGGGGGAUCCCAGUCUAAGCAGAGCUUCAGUGUCUAUAAAGUCAUUGAUAAAGGCACUCAAGGCUUAAGGAGAAAGGGUGCUGUUAGAGUUAGGAAGCAUUAUGGUUCAGGAUAAUUCAUUUCGCCUAGAUCCCCUAGCACAAAUUUCAGAGGUACUAGAAGAAUUUCGUCAUGUCUUUAAGAUGCGAAACUGUAUCCCUUCCCCUAGAAGGCACGAUCACGCUAUCAAUCUCCAACUUGGGGCAGCUCCAGUAAAUGUGCGGCCUUAUUGGUAUCCUCAUUUCGAGAAGAAUGAGAUUGAGAAAUUAUUAUGGAAAAUGUUAGUGGUAGGGAUAGUUCAAUAGAGCAUAAGUCCUUUCUCAAGUGCAAUUUAGUUAAAGGACGAAGGGUGGAAAUUCUGUGUGGACUAUCGGGCCUUGAAAAAAGUAACAAUUCCAGACAAAUUUUCGAUUCCAGUAAUUGAUGAGUUGCUUGACGAACUUGGGGAGUGCUACCAUAUUUUCCAAUAUAGAUUUGAAAUCAGGAUACCAUCAAAUUAGGGUGAGACCGAAGGUGUACUAAAGACAGCUUUUAGAACCCAUUAAGGCCAUUAUGAAUUCCUCGUCAUGCUGUUUGGGCUGACUAAUGCACUGGCCACCUUCAAAUCAUUAAUGAAUGAGAUUUUUAAAAGAUACAUGUAGAAGUUUGUGCUGGUGUUCUUUGGUGAUAUUCUUGUUUACAGCUGCACAACCGAGGAGCAUAAAAGUCAUUUCAGAACAGUGCUGCAAGUGCUGUCGGACAACCAGAUUUAUGCUAAUGAAAAGAAAUGCAGGUUCAACCAGCAGAAACUGGAGUAUUUAGGGCAUGUUAUUCAGCAUCCGGGGUAGCAGCGGAUGAAUCCAAAGUGACAGCUAUGAGGGAUUGGCCCCAACCAACAACAAUCAAGGAGUUAAGAGGAUUUUUAGGGCUUACCAGAUACUAUCGUCGGUUUGUGAAAUCUUAUAGGAGCAUAGCUUGGCCCUAGAUGUAACAGUUAAAGAAGGACAACUUUGAGUGGUUGGAAAAAGCUGAGGAGGCAUUCGCUAAGUUGAAAAAUGCCAUGAUGACAUUACCUAUAUUUAGAUUACCCAACUUCUGCCAGCCCUUUGUGGUGGAAACCGAUGCAUCAAGGUAUGGAGUAGGGGCCGUCCUCAUGCAAAAUAAGAGACCAAUUGCAUACUUCAGUCAAACUCGUCCUCUAAGGGCUCGGUGUAAGUCAAUAUAUGAAAUGGAACUUAUGGCCAUUGUAUUAGCAGUACAAAAUGGAAACAUUAUUUACUGGGUCAUAGAUUUGUAGUGCAAACUGAUCAGCGUAGCCUCAAAUUCCUAUUGAAGCAAAGGGAGGUGAAUCAGGAAUACCAAAAGUGGCUUACCAAACUUCUCGGAUUCGAUUUCGACAUCGAAUAAAAGGUCGGUCUCGAAAAUAAGGCAACGGAUGCUCUUUCUAGGGAGGAUGCAACGACAGCUCUCAUGGCCCUAGGUUUGCCCCAGUCUUUAGAUCUAGCACAAUGUCCAAGGUAUUCCUUGCUGAGAGAUAACCUGUUGUAUCACGGCAGACUAGUGCUACCAUGAGACCCACAGUUUGUGCAACUAGCCUUACAGGAAGGGCAUAACAGUAAGGUAUGAGGGCAUGGGAGAUUUCUAAAGACUUAUAGGAGAGUGGCAUAAACUUUUUUUUUUGGAAAGGGAUGAGACGGGAUGUCCGGACCUAUGUUGCUACGUGUGAAAUUUGUCAGCAACAUAAAUAUUCCACCUUGGCACCAGUAGGACUGCUCCAGCCACUGCCCAUAUCUCAAUGGAUUUUGUAGAAGGGCUGCCAAAAUCAGAGGCUUUUGACUCGAUUUUGGUAAUAGUAGAUCUUUUAAGCAAAUAUGCACAUUUAAUUGGCCUGAAGCAUCCUUUUUCAGCCCCAUCAGUUGCUUCAAUUUUUGUUAAAGAAGUGGUUAAGCUUCAUGGAGUGCCCCGUUCCAUAGUCUCAGAUUAGCACAGGGUGUUCAUAAGCCAGUUCUAUAGUGAGCUUUAUAACUUGCAAGGAACCUCACUAAAACACAGUUUCACAUAUCACCCACAAAGCGACGAUCAGACAGAGGUGAUAAAUAGGGAUGUUGACACAUAUUUGCAGUGCUUUACUUUCAAUAAAACCAAGAAGGUGGUAUCAAUUUCUUCAUUGGGCUAAAUACUUCUUAUCACGUAUUGGCCCAACUCACCCCAGUUCCCAUCCUAUAUGGUCGCGAUCUACCCCCAUUAAUUCGCUUCGAGAGAGGUGUCACAGCCAUAUCCUCUUUGAAGCAACAAAUGCGGUGACGAGACAAAUUUUUGGAUGAAUUGAAGUUACAUCUCCAUAAAGCUCAGCAACAAAUGAAAUCAGCAGCCGACAAACAUAGGAGAAUGUGGAGUACACGGUAAGAGAUUGGGUUUAUAUGAAAAUGAGGCCAUAUAGGCGUUGGUCACUUAUGGUAUGCCACAAUGAGAAGUUAGCUCCGAGGUACUAUGGACCGUUUGAAGUAUUGGCAAGAGUGGGAAAAAUGGUUUACCGUUUGUCACUACCAGCUGAUGCCCGAGUUCACCCCGUUUUCCAUGUUUCGCAAUUUAGAUAAGUGGUCGGAAAGGCUCCAGUAACUUCUUCCCUGCCUCCUCAAAUUGAUAAAGACUGGAAGUUACUUGUGGAACCGAAAAUGGUGUUAGCAUUCAAACAGCCACAUAGGGUCCAUCAAAUGCUAUGAAAGUCUUGAAUUAGUGGAAAGGUUUAUCUCCUAUGGAAGCAAGUUUUGAACCCUUUGAAUUAAUCAACCAAUAGUUUCCUUCUUUGAACUCUUGCAGACAAGGUGACUGCAUUGGGAGGGGUAUUUGAUAAGCCUCCAAUUAAAUUCACUUAUACAAGGCAUAAGAAGGUCAAGCAAGUACAUGAUGGGGAAGCCAGACGUGACAACAAGAGUCCACAGGAAAUCUCUAGAAGAAAUGCUGAGUUAGUAAAUUUGUUAAGAAGUUGUUAGAGUUAGUUAAGGGAAAGAUAUAAAUAAACAUAUAGGAAGGAGAGCGAGGCAGCCAGAAAUUAAGAGAGGCGGAAGAGUUAGGAAGAAUUGUAUUUUUCCUCGAGUUCUUGUAUUUAUAGUAACGUUCUUUCAAUCUCAUUGAGGAAGUCUUUUUUUAAACAUUUUUCAUUGUUAUAGUGAGUUUGCGUUCAGUCCUUGAAUUACAGCCUAUUAGAUAUUUGAGAGACGAAUCAUAUUUUU
rnacentral:lncRNA from 1 species